CGAUGGGGCUAUAGCUCAGCUGGGAGAGCGCAUGCUUUGCACGCAGGAGGUCUGCGGUUCGAGCCCGCAUAGAUCGA
rnacentral:tRNA from 1 species